rnacentral:rRNA from 1 species
AUUGAACGCUGGCGGCGUGCCUAAUACAUGCAAGUCGAGCGCAGCGGGGACGGGUGAGUAACACGUGGAUAACCUCCUUUAAGACUGGGACAACUUCGGGAAACCGGAGCUAAACCGGAUACUUAUACAUGGAUCCGCGCUGCAUUAGCUAGUUGGUAAGGUAACGGCUUACCAAGGCAACGAUGGCUAGCCGGGCUGAGAGGAUGAGCAGCCACACUGGAACUGAGACACGGUCCAGACUCCUACGGGAGGCAGCAGUGGGGAAUCUUCCGCAAUGGGCGAAAGCCUGACGGAGCAACGCCGCGUGGGUGAAGAAGGUCUUCGGAUCGUAAAGCUCUGUUAUUAGGGAAGCGGUACCUGAACAAGAAGCCACGGCUAACUACGUGCCAGCAGCCGCGGUAAUUC